CCUACGGGAGGCAGCAGUAGGGAAUAUUGGUCAAUGGGCGAGAGCCUGAACCAGCCAUGCCGCGUGCAGGAAGAAGGCCCUCUGGGUUGUAAACUGCUUUUGACAGGGGCCAAAAUACUCAUGCGUGAGGAAUUGAGAGUACCUGUAGAAUAAGCACCGGCUAACUCCGUGCCAGCAGCCGCGGUAAUACGGAGGGUGCAAGCGUUGUCCGGAUUUAUGGGUUUAAAGGGUGCGUAGGUGCCUUAUAAGUCAGUGGUGAAAGCCUGCAGCUUAACUGUAGGACUGCCAUUGAUACUGUAGGGCUUGAGUACUGAUGAGGUAGGCGGAAUUGAUAGUGUAGCGGUGAAAUGCAUAGAUAUUAUCAAGAACACCGAUUGCGAAGGCAGCUUACUAAGGAGUUACUGACACUGAGGCACGAAAGCGUGGGGAUCAAACAGGAUUAGAUACCCUGGUAGUCCACGCCAUAAACGAUGAUUACUCGAUGUAUGCGAUAGAUAGUAUGCGUCCAAGCGAAAGCGUUAAGUAAUCACCUGGGAGUACGACCGCAAGUUGAAACGUCAANAGAGUAGAGCGNGAGAGNGCGAGGCGACACGAGGGAGGAG
rnacentral:rRNA from 1 species